rnacentral:rRNA from 1 species
AACGAACGCUGGCGGCAUGCCUAACACAUGCAAGUCGAACGAGACCUUCGGGUCUAGUGGCGCACGGGUGUGUAACGCGUGGGAACCUGCCCUUAGGUUCGGAAUAACUCCCCGAAAGGGGUGCUAAUACCGGAUAAUGUCUUCGGACCAAAGAUUUAUCGCCUUUGGAUGGGCCCGCGUUGGAUUAGCUCGUUGGUAGGGUAAAAGCCUACCAAGGCGACGAUCCAUAGCUGGUCUGAGAGGAUGAUCAGCCACACUGAGACUGAGACACGGCCCAGACUCCUACGGGAGGCAGCAGUGGGGAAUAUUGGACAAUGGGCGAAAGCCUGAUCCAGCAAUGCCGCGUGAGUGAUGAAGUCCUUAAGGUUGUAAAGCUCUUUUACCCGGGAUGAUAAUGACAGUACCGGGAGAAUAAGCUCCGGCUAACUCCGUG